rnacentral:ncRNA from 1 species
UGAAUAUCAAUGACCAGGAAGAGUAAACAUACGCAGGAAGCUGCAGCGAGCCAAUGAUAGUGAGAGUUUGGCGCUAAACCGGUAUGGCGAAUGGGCCUGGGAGAUACAGUCCGAGCCGUUUCAGGGACGGGGUAGGCGCUGUCGGAUUCUUCCGCCGUUAGCAGGAAGCAGGUAUCGGAUAGUAUCCCGUACUUUGAUAAGCCGGGUCAGAGUUUGUCAUGACCAAUGAGGGUGGCACCGCGGGUUAUUCCCCGUCCCUUGA